rnacentral:rRNA from 1 species
CUGCUUUAAUGAAGUUUUCGGAUGGAUUUAGAACAGCUUAGUGGCGAACGGGUGAGUAACGCGUGGGUAACCUGCCUCACACAGGGGGAUAACAGUUGGAAACGGCUGCUAAUACCGCAUAAGCGCACGGUUCCGCAUGGUACAGUGUGAAAAACUCCGGUGGUGUGAGAUGGACCCGCGUCUGAUUAGCCAGUUGGCGGGGUAACGGCCCACCAAGGCGACGAUUGGUAGCCGGACUGAGAGGUUGAACGGCCACAUUGGGACUGAGACACGGCCCAGACUCC